UGCAUGAAACUUUUUUUGUCAGAU
rnacentral:siRNA from 1 species